AGGGUUGAGCAGAUAAUUGGAAGAACCAUAUUUUCUCAAUGCAAGCAACCUGGGAAUAACCUUGAGAUCUGCAAGGUGUGAGUAGGAACUGAGGCUCCACUCUUAGAGCAACACUCACGUGUUGAGCUUUUGGUUGUCCUUAUUUGUAAGGGGCAGACCUACCAUUACAUCAGGAAAUCGGGAUGCCAUCAGUUUCUCCUAUCAUAACUGAGGUGCUUGCUAUCAAAGUUAUUAGUGGAAACAUUGCCGACUGGAUGAAGAAGGAAGGGGAAAAAGUCUCACUAGGUGUAGAAGGUCGAGCUGCUCGUCCUCAUGGUGCACCAUAGCUACCUCGCUGCUGCCAUCCAGGACCUGUCAACAUCGGCAUCACAAGAUCAUGGAACUUAUGUGUGUGCAGAUCAAUGCAGUAUCUUCGGAGGAGCGAGCAACAAUAUUCAUUGGUUUACAUUUAGGCUGCCAAGUCAGGCCGCUGACCUCCUUCGCUGCUGAUGUUCGACAACCAAUGUCUUAGCAUUGGCGCCCAAUGAUAGGGAGGUUGCGGGAGGCAGAAUCUGAAGAUAAGGUGGGGCAUUUCCACUACGUGCUGGAGGUUGAUCUGCUUGCCUCCAAGGGCUACCAUGGUGAUCUAUACACGGACUUUUAGGAGCUCGUCGACAUCGACAUCGCAAGAUCAUGGAACUUAUGGGUGCCAUGUUGAUCAUCUUUGGAGGAGCGGACAACGGUAUUCGGUGGACUACACUUGGGCAGCCAAGUCAGGCUGCCGACCUCCUUCGGCGCUGAUGUUCGACAGCCAGUGUCUUAC